UUGGGCCAAGUUCAUUGAACUGCCACCGGUUACAGCUCUCCCUCCGCCGCGAACUUGCUGCAUCCGUCUGUUUCUCCGGCGAACUCCUCCCGGUCUCUUAUUUUUCCGGCAUAGUUCUAUUUCAGGUUCUUCUCUUCCUCCUUUUUGUGUAAUUGUUAUGAAGACCUCUCUCGAAAAGGAACCCUAAUUUUGCUAGGAUCACGCGUUCUGGUUUGCAGCUUUGUUAAGUAGAAAUUCGUUAUGAAUAACAAUAAUCCAGUUAAGAAUGUUAGUUUAGGAACCUCAGUUCCAAUUCAAAUUCCUCAAUCUAUGCCGAUAAACCAUAAUCAACCAGCUGUUCGUCACUUCUCCCAGUCACCAGCACAACGGGGUUCACAUUUCCCUGGCCAUUUUCAGUUAUCUGAAUCACGAUCUCAUGCCCCAUUUCAAGGUCAAGCUCAGGCCUUCAGCCAUUUCAUCACUUCAGGGGUUAAUACCAAUGCUGGUGUUUCAUCCCCUGCUGCUUCUACACCCAAUACAGCUUCUGGGGGUGCUAGAAAAGUGCUCCAUAGACCACCUUCUCGGACCGGUGGUUCAUCUAACCAUGGUCAAGCAACUGCUUCUCCUUUAAAGACAAUGGAAUUAACCCCUGCUGUGCGUAGGAAAAAGCAAA
rnacentral:misc_RNA from 1 species